GGAGAGAUGGCCGAGCGGCUGAAGGCGCUCCCCUGCUAAGGGAGUGUGGGGUUUAUAGCUCCACCGAGGGUUCGAAUCCCUCUCUCUCCGCCA
rnacentral:tRNA from 1 species